rnacentral:rRNA from 1 species
UACGGGGGGGGCAAGCGUUGUUCGGAAUUACUGGGCGUAAAGGGCGCGUAGGCGGCCAUUCAAGUCGGGGGUGAAAGCCCAGGGCUCAACCCUGGAAUUGCCUUCGAUACUGUUUGGCUAGAGACCGGAAGAGGUUAGUGGAACUGCGAGUGUAGAGGUGAAAUUCGUAGAUAUUCGCAAGAACACCAGUGGCGAAGGCGGCUAACUGGUCCGGUUCUGACGCUGAGGCGCGAAAGCGUGGGGAGCAAACAGG